rnacentral:lncRNA from 1 species
ACUGUUGCACUGUCUGUCUUGUUCAGAGACAAGGCCUUGUCCCUCUGUCCAGGCUGGAGUGCAGGGGCUGUACAGGAUGUGACCUCACAGAUGACAAGGUCAGUUUGGUCCAGUUUGGUCCUGGCUGGAGACAGCCAGGUUGAGAUGCUGUCUCAGGAACCAGCUGUGCCAGUCUGGAUCCAGAGGAAGGUGUGACCUGGAGCCAGGAGUGCUCAAGCUGCCUGAGAUGCAGAUCUCCACCCUUCUUGGAGGAGGCCAGGAGCAGGCAGGGUGCUUGCUACCUGGGCGCACACUGGAACUCAUUGAGCAGAUCGUGGGAGGGGUGAUCUGGGUGGCACCUUUAUCUUCCUAGGACAAUGACAACUGCUUCUUUGCACACUCUUGGCCCAGCCACCUACGAGAUUUCCACAGAGCACUUGGGAAAGAAGCCAUGGUCAGUAAACACAGGGCGGGGCAAGCAGCUGGGAGGGCAGCCAGGUGCCAGUGUCACGAAACCCAUUUACAUGCAAGUACAUUGGCAUGCACCUUCAACAGCUUCUUCACAGGCACAGCAUGAGACUAUAGCCUGGAGGGAACCAGAGGUAUUUGAUACAACUCGGACAAAAGCACCAAGAAGCCCAAUGUCAGCCCUGGUGGAGCCAGAAGAAACCCUCAGGAGCACGGAUCUUGUCUUUAUUUUACCAGUUUGGGGUCGUGCUUACUGUGGAUUUUUACCUGAAUUUUGGUUUUUAAACACGUUGCGUUGUUAUUUGUUCCUGACUUUUCUGGUGGCCUCUUCCUUUCUGGUUUACCCUGGCACACAGGGCUGUCUAGUGCCUGCCUCAGGUCAAAGUCUGGCCUUUGAAUUCACUGGGGCAACGAUCUUUCACAAGGGGCACCAUGGUUUUGCAUCUUCUCCAUGGUCAUCAGCUUUCCAUUGCUGUAGCAAACACCUAAGCACCUCAGCUUGUGAAGAGGAAAGGUGGAUUUUGGCUCAGUUUGGAGGUCCAGUCCAUGGUGACCACUGCUUUGGGACUGUGGUGAAGCAGAACAUCACGGCAGGAGCCCUGGUGGAGGAGAGCUGCUCAACUCAUGGCUGGGGACAUGAAAAAGAGAGGAAGGGUCUGAAGCCCCUCGUCCACUUCAAGAGCAUGUGUGCCCGAGUGGUCUAA